AUUAUCUUUGUUUCAAAUACUAAGUGACUUUUUAUCUAAAAAAAUAUGAAAUCGAUAUCAUUUAAUUAAUUUAAACUAUUAAAGUAUAUUGCGACGCCAUUACUUUGUCUUUAUUCAGUACUGAAGCAUAUAGGACAACAACGCAAAAUAUUCAAUUUAUCAUCGAAGUUAUAACAAAUCAAAGUUAAUCCCAUGCAUGAGGGAAAAUGAAUAAUUUAAUUAUUAAAUCAAUAAUAACUCUGGUAAUAUUCUUCGACAUUUCGUUCCUCGAUUUUCACUCGGUAAAAAUUUCCAUAAUGAAUUUAUUAUUUUUAUCAAUUGAUUAUUUAAUUAUGUGGUAAUUUAAAAAUAUAUAGAUUGAUAAACGUUCAUCGUCAACUAAUGGCGUCAUAAUUGGACCAGAUACUCCAGUUUACUUAGACUAGUUCAGACUUUAGACAGAUACUAGUUCAACGUUAUGUAAACAAGUUUGAAGCAUCCCCUUCCUACAACUACUAUUAUAAUCCGGAAAAAAAUCAAACGACACAUUUUUUCCGAGAGUAUUGGUAAUUAUUGAUUGGAAUAAUGGAAUUGGAAAUAAAACGCAAGAGCAAAAUAUUCUUAAUGAAGUAUUGGCGAAAUGGAAUAAAGUCGAUAAAUAUUUUGAACAACUUGAUAAUCCCAAAAUAAAAUUGGAUAUUGCUGGAGUCGUCAUACCGACACGUCAAAAUGAACACGUCAAGGAACGUUGAAGACUGUAGAUAUGACUGUCAAAAAACGAAUAAUUUUGGUGCUAAAAUUGGUUCCAAUAAUCGUCCACUAGGAAGAGUCAUAUGAAAUAAUUAUGUUUUUCCGAAAAGCGCAGCCUACAUUAUCGCUUCAAUACUGGGAGUUAACAGCGAUAGAGAAUUAGGAUGUGAAAGUGGUCAUAUAGUGGACGCUAGCCAAGCUCGUGAUGAUGAAACUAGGUCCGAGUGUUCUAAAAGAGCUUUUAGAUCGAUGGUCAACAACAACAAAUACACUUGUUUACAUCAAAUAAUUGAUGAUGAAGACGAUUACGAUUUGUAAUAUGUAAUUCAAACUUUUAAAUAAAAUUUAGUACUUUAAGCAAAAUUAUAUAA